rnacentral:rRNA from 1 species
GGUUUUUUGGUUAGGAAUUUAAAGUUUGACCUGCCCAAUGAUGAAUUUAAUGGCCGCGGUAUUGUGACCGUGCAAAGGUAGCAUAAUCAUUAGUCUUUUAAUUGAGGGCUUGUAUGAAUGGUUGGACGAGGAGGGGACUGUCUUCAAAUGAAGUUUUUUUAUUUGAAUUUUACCUUUAAGUGAAAAGGCUUAAAUGGUCUUGAGGGGCGAUAAGACCCUAUAGAUCUUUACAUUAUAGCAGCAUUAGGAUGUAAUGAGGUGUUAUGUUAGGUUGGGGCGACAGGAAGAGAAGUAUAACUUUUUAGGUGUAGGAUUACUGUUUUGUAUAUUGAAGAUCCACGAUUAUAGUGAUUAUGAGACUAAGUUACCUUAGGGAUAACAGCGUAAUCUUUUUUGAGAGUUCAUAUCGAGAGAAGGGAUUGCGACCUCGAUGUUGGAUUAAGGUUUCCUUGUGGUGCAGAAGUUGCAAGGGAAGGUCUGUUCGACCUUUAAAUCCUUACA